GACGGCCGCGUGAGGAUCUUUCGGGACCCUCCCGAGGAACGUCCGGGCUCCACAGAGCAGGGUGGUGGCUAACGGCCACCCGGGGUGACCCGCGGGACAGUGCCACAGAGAACAGACCGCCCGGGACCUCGGUCCCGGGUAAGGGUGAAACGGUGGUGUAAGAGACCACCAGCGCCUGAGGUGACUCAGGCGGCUAGGUAAACCCCACCCGGAGCAAGGUCAAGAGGGGUCGUGCCGGAGACGGGACGGCCCUGCGUGAAC
rnacentral:RNase_P_RNA from 1 species